AUCGUUGUUAAUCAAAACCCCAAUACUGAAGAGGGUUUUGCACAAAAUUGUUGUGGAGCAAUAGCAUUGUUGAAUAAGAUUAAAAAUUUUCUUCUUCUAAGCAAGUACAAGCUCAUGUUAUUUAAAAUGGAAUCCAAACUAAAGAUGUAUAAAGCGAGGAGAAAACUGAGUUGAAUUUAAUGAAAGCAAGAAUCUGGUGCUGCUUCUUUUGAAGAUACUUGUAUUCAACUGAAACAGAACAAGAGGAUUACCUCAUUUUUGCA
rnacentral:misc_RNA from 1 species